GUCCACGCCGUAAACGAUGGAUACUAGGUGUUGCGGGUAUUGACCCCCGCAGCGCCGUAGCUAACGCAUUAAGUAUCCCGCCUGGGAAGUACGGCCGCAAGGCUAAAACUCAAAGGAAUUGACGGGGGCCCGCACAAGCGGUGGAGCAUGUGGUUUAAUUCGACGCAACGCGAAGAACCUUACCCAGACUUGACAUCGAUGGAAUCCUGUGGAGACACGGGAGUGCCCUUCGGGGCCCAGAAGACAGGUGCUGCAUGGCUGUCGU
rnacentral:rRNA from 1 species